UCCAGCUUCCAGCUGCCACCACCACAGACCCCCACAGAGUGCGAGUGUAAUUCAGACCCCGCUUACCAUCAGCCUGAAUAAUACUGAAUAACACCUAAUUUCUCUUCCCUUGUAGUAGUGCUCUACUGCUAUGUAUAGGCAAGUCUGCACCUAGUAUACAAUUUUAAAGCUCUGGAAGCAUAUACAAGUCAUUUGAUCCAAAACUCAAACAUUUUUGGAUACUUAAAAUCCCAGGAGUAAGAUUUCAGAACAGCCACUCACUAGGAGUAUUGGGGGGCAAGAAAAUGGGUAUAAAGAUGGAGUUGGAUAAAUUUAUAACAGGGAUUACACAAAAAGAUUGCCUGUGAAGUAAAGAACUGAAAUUCCUGUUCCAAGAGGGAUGGACGUUUGAGCUCAUUGUUUCUCACUGCAGUUAUUAUGGUCUCGGUUUAGGCUGUGACAAGAUUUUAGUAACAAAGAAGCCAAAGUCUCUCCACAGUUGAAUGAAUAUACUUCAGGAGGCUGCAAUCUAUAAUGUUUUGUCUUUUUUUUUAUCACAGGUCCUUCUCUAAAACUCAUAAUGAACUCCAUGAAAAAUGCAUGCUUGUUAAACAGACAAAAGGAUAAGACAUUGAAAAACAAAAUGUUUCUAAUGUGGAUGACUAGUUUUACAGUCUAUAGAGAGCACCCAGUAAAAUAAGUGAGAUACAAAAUACAACAGUGCCACCUUUCUGACGAUCAUAUUACUGCAUCUAUGAACUGUACAGAUAAUUAGACAACUUUACAGUUUAUUUUGCACAUUUUUCCCAUAGGGUUUCUAAGCAAUGGCACACACUAGAGGGUGAGCUCAACUCCACAAGUUGGGUGCACUGAGACAUGCAAUACAGCUGAAGGAAUAAAAACCAACAAAAUGUAAUCUAAAGACUCAAUGUUUUCUCUCUCACAUAUGCAUUGCAGUUCAUGCAGGGAGGCACCUGGUACAGUACACAGGGAGGCACUUGGUGUAGUAUUUAAUCCCAUCUUGGGACAUGCACACAAUGCUUAUUGGGGCUCUUUGUUGGCUAGUCAGGGUUUUCCAUUUGGAAUCACAGAAAACUAGGGCUAGAAAUCACCUUGCCCAAACCUCUGCAAAGCCAGGAUCAUCCCUGUCUAAACAAGGCCAGAUAAAUGCUUAUCCUGCCUGAAUUUAAAAAUGUCUGAUGAUGGAGCUUCCUACAUGGUACUACAGCUUCAGUAAAAUGAAGCUUGCUUUUUCCAGGUGAAGCACUUCUGAAUGUGUAAACAAAAAUGCUGCUGCAGAAGGGGGACAGUCUAUCUAGAGAAGAAAUUGGGCCUGAGACUGGCCAUGCUAGUCUUAAACCUACAGCUUUUUAUGUGUUUGAUGUAUGAAAACAAGAAAUACAAGCUUUAAAAACCAGCAAAGAGGUGGAAGGACAGUGAGGAAUGGUAUGAGAUGCAGUAUGCUGUGAGAUGGAUGGAUUUCCAGAAGUGCAGACACAAGAGGCAGCCAGAGUGCAAGAUGUCCAGGAGUUAUUUUCAAGUUAACCAGGGCAGUGAUAUAAAUGAAUUUUCCAGGGUUCUAUGAAUAUUUCACAGCUGUUGCUUCAGACUCCUGUCUGAGGUCUCUGGAGCAUUCACUAUUCAGGGAUUUGGCAGACCUGAUUUCCUUGGAGUGUUUCUUAUUAAAUAUUGCAGUCUUAUAUAGAAUUCUAUAAGAGCUGAAAUAUAUGCCAAAACAACAUGAAAAGAGACAAAGCUAUCAGUCUGCUUGCCAGGUACAUGUCAAGCAUUGAGUCUUUUCAGGUUUCUCAGAGACUGUCACCUUUGCAUUCAGUGGUGUUGAGAAUGGAAGCUUCUAUGAUUUUGAAUGACAGUUUGUGAACAAUUAGAGUCAUAAAAAGG